UUAGAUUGCAGAUAAGAAUAUUUAUGCUGUAUAUCUGUGAUAACUGAAUGAAAGUUUAAGCGUUAUGUAAGAACGCCAGCCACAGAGCCACUAUUAUAGUGGUGUUUUUUUAU
ncrna:unclassified sequences DTF3800-I RNA